rnacentral:tRNA from 1 species
UCCCUGGUGGUCUAGUGGUUAAGAUUCACUGCUCUUACUGCUGUGGCCUGGGUUCAUUUCCUGGUCAGGGAA